CCUACGGGGGGCAGCAGUGGGGAAUAUUGGACAAUGGGGGGAACCCUGAUCCAGCCAUGCCGCGUGUGUGAAGAAGGCCCUCGGGUUGUAAAGCACUUUCAGUGAGGAAGAACGCCUGGUGGUUAAUACCCAUCAGGAAAGACAUCACUCACAGAAGAAGCACCGGCUAACUCCGUGCCAGCAGCCGCGGUAAUACGGAGGGUGCGAGCGUUAAUCGGAAUUACUGGGCGUAAAGCGCGCGUAGGUGGCUUGAUAAGCCGGUUGUGAAAGCCCCGGGCUCAACCUGGGAACGGCAUCCGGAACUGUCAAGCUAGAGUGCAGGAGAGGAAGGUAGAAUUCCCGGUGUAGCGGUGAAAUGCGUAGAGAUCGGGAGGAAUACCAGUGGCGAAGGCAGCCUUCUGGACUGACACUGACACUGAGGUGCGAAAGCGUGGGUAGCAAACAGGAUUAGAUACCCCGGUAGUC
rnacentral:rRNA from 1 species